CAUUUCGGCAAUGGUCAAAGAGACACUUUGUAGGUGGUAUUGUUCUGAUACCAGUCAGGGCAGAGCAGAUGGCAGUCCUUUGAUCAUCCUAGCUUGGUUCCUGGCUUGGUGGUCAAUGCUGUCUUAUGCCUAGAACUCAUAA